rnacentral:lncRNA from 1 species
AGCGCCCCUCAGUGCACAGUCCCAGCGGCCUCGCUGGGCCGGCGCCUCCCGACCAAGUAAUGAUGAAACUCCUGCUCUGGUCCGGGCUACCGGUGAACAGCGCCCAGCGGGCCGGGCCCCCAACCUCGCUCCUGAGCCUGAACAUCCCCCCAACCCCACCGUGAGAAUUCAGCGAAGAGUAAAAGCUGGAAAAAGUUGCGUGUCUUAGGCUAAGCAGAACAAAGUGGGGUGACGGCUCCCCGGCUAGGAACAGAGAUGCCCUUAGGGAGCCCUCUGAUGGAAGAGCUCUCCGCUUAAGAAGGUCACCACUCCCUUACACUCAGGAGAUGUUGCUGAGAUGGGUGCAUUAAAGUUUAGGCUUUCCAGAGUUUAUAUUGCUAACAACUUGAAAGGAAAAAAGCUAACUAGAGAACUGACUGGUCUUAUUUGUUUUAGAUUCUGGGCUUUACUAAGACUUCCUACUCUCAGAAUCUCUGGACUAUAAACGCUGGGUGGGGUGGGAGCUGGGAAUGUUAUUCUGGAAAAUUAAUCACAAAUGAAAAGAAAAUCAACUCUAAGACUCCAGUUAGAAGAUUUUUGAAAAUGGCAGAACAUGACUGGCCUUCAUUCAAGUCAGAAUAUUUAAAGCAAUCCUUGCUAAGAAGAACUUGAUUUUGUAUAAGCAGUCCCUUAAAUACAGUUGCUUCUCAAGAAAACCACACACAAUUGAUGUUUGAAUGGCUUUAUUUACAAACAUCUCACUCCGUAAGCCUCUGCAGGUAUUUCUAGCCUCCCAGGGGCCACUGUCCCGUUUCACCUGUAAUUUGGAUCACAAUUCUGUUUGUUGUCACACACAUCAUAUGAACUGCUUUUCAUGCUGCUUUUAUCCACAAAGCUUUACAAGCUUUAAUGGCAGCUCUAUGUAUGACAACUUUAUAAAGAUCUGCCAAAAGGU